rnacentral:rRNA from 1 species
AGUGAACGCUGGCGGCGUGCUUAACACAUGCAAGUCGAACGAGAACGGAUUAUAGCUUGCUAUAAUUGUCAGCUAAGUGGCGCACGGGUGAGUAAUGUAUAGGUAAUAUGCCUCUUACUAAGGGAUAACAAAUGGAAACGUUAGCUAAUACCUUAUACUCCUUAUUAACAGAAGUUAAUAAGGGAAAGAUUUAUUGGUAAGAGAUUAGCCUGUAUUGUAUCAGUUAGUUGGUGGGGUAAUGGCUUACCAAGACUAUGACACAUAACUGGUUUGAGAGGAUGAUCAGUCACACUGGAACUGAGACACGGUCCAGACUCCUACGGGAGGCAGCAGUGGGGUAUAUUGCACAAUGGACGAAAGUCUGAUGCAGCAACGCCGCGUGGAGGAUGACACAUUUCGGUGCGUAAACUCCUUUUAUAUGAGAAGAUAAUGACGGUAUUAUAUGAAUAAGCACCGGCUAACUCCGUGCCAGCCGCCGCUGUAA